rnacentral:rRNA from 1 species
CCAAGGAGUCUAACAUGUGCGCAAGUCGCUGAGUCUUGUGUAGGCUCGGAGGCGCAAUGAAAGUGAAGGCCGAUCUGGGCGUCGGCUGCGGUGUGAUCCACCGGGCACCAUCCCGUCGCUCCCUUGUGGAAGGCGGGGCCCGUGGCGCAACACCGGCCCGUCCCGUCCGCAACGUCGGUGGGGCGGAGCGAGAGCGUACACGUUGGGACCCGAAAGAUGGUGAACUAUGCCUGGGCAGGACGAAGCCAGAGGAAACUCUGGUGGAGGUCCGCAGCGAUUCUGACGUGCAAAUCGAUCGUCAGACCUGGGUAUAGGGGCGAAAGACUAAUCGAACCAUCUAGUAGCUGGUUCCCUCCGAAGUUUCCCUCAGGAUAGCUGGCGCUCGAGGGAAGCAGUCUCAUCCGGUAAAGCGAAUGAUUAGAGGCCUUGGGGCCGAAACGACCUCAACCUAUUCUCAAACUUUCAAUGGGUGAGAAGUCCGGCUUGCUCGACUGAAGCCCGGACGUCCCAGGAUGCGAGUGCCCAGUGGGCCACUUUUGGUAAGCAGAACUGGCGCUGUGGGAUGAACCAAACGCUGGGUUAAGGCGCCCGAUGACAGACGCUCAUCAGAUCCCAUGAAAGGUGUUGGUUGCUAUAGACAGCAGGACGGUGGCCAUGGAAGUCGGAAUCCGCUAAGGAGUGUGUAACAACUCACCUGCCGAAGCAACUAGCCCUGAAAAUGGAUGGCGCUGUAGCGUCGAGCCCAUACCCGGCCGCCCCGGCUGUGCGCGGAAGCUUAUGCAGGG